rnacentral:lncRNA from 1 species
GAAGAGGGUCUGGGCGAUGGUGCAUCCGGGACGAGCCUCCAGAGACCAAGCGGGAUAGGUAAACCCGCCGCGCAGCUGGCGGGACGCUGGGCCAACGAGGUCUGGGGUCUUGGCGCGGAGUUCAUGGGCCGCCGGCCAGGCUUGUGCCAGUGGCUUUGGAUCCCUGGCCUGCUUCCCCCAACCCAGCCUCCAGACCAGCGCUGGCCUGCUCCACACACUCCGCAGCACCGUCCCGGGAACCGAGCGUCGGCGGGGAGGCCGCCUCUCCGCAGUAGGUCUCGGCGGGCCUGAUCCCUUGGAGGCGCGUGUGUGGCACACGCCCAGGAGGGGCUUGAUUUUUGUUGAUGUAUACCCCAUGUUUCCCCAUCACUCGAGGAGUCUGGGCAGAGACUGGACUACACCGUGGGAGAAUCUGCAAAGGUGUUGCUGGAACAGACAUAUUUCUAGUUGUAUGAGGUGGCCUGGACAUUACUCUCGAGCUCCUUACCCAUACUUCAGUAGUAGGCAUUUUUCACUAAAUUGGAGACCACCCUGUUUGUUUGAGUCUAGAACUCAGUUCCAGUACUGUAACUGGAGACCUGACAACCUGAGCCAGACAUCUUUGAUUCAUCUCUCUAGUUACGUCAUGAACGCUGAGGGAGAUGAGCCUUCAUCAAAACGAAGAAAACACCAAGGUGUGAUAAAGCGGAAUUGGGAAUAUAUAUGUAGCC